UGCUCACUUUGGCAGCACAUAUUUUAAACUGGAAUGAUAGAGAAGAUGAGCAUGUAUGUUACACAGGAUGACACGCAAACUCAUGAACUGUUCCAUAUUUGU